rnacentral:tRNA from 1 species
ACAGUGGUGGUUCAGCGGUAGAAUUCUCGCCUUCCACAGAGAAGGCCCGGGUUCAGUUCCCAGCCAAUGUA